CAAAUUUAUAGUUGUUGUCCCAAAAUGCAUGUCAUAAAGAAUAUUUGCGGUAAAGACAAAGAUGAUGACUUGAUUAGCAUCUAUAUUCCCAAGGCUGUUUUGCAUACUGAAACAAGCCUAAGGGCUUGAGUAAGAAAUACAGGUCCUCUCUGAUAGUAGAUAAAAUAGUAGGACCAAAGUGCAACUAUGCCAAUUGGAUAAGGAUUUCCAAUCUCAUCUCCUGCGCGUGUGUGGUGGGCUGUAGGCCAUUGAGAAAUCAUCCCCAUUGUUGCCUGCUUAGAGACGCUGAUGCGCCGCACGUCGUCGUCGGGCUGUGCUCCCUUUCCUGUAAGGGGAUUUUUUUUCUAUGCCGCCGUAGUUGUGGGGAGGAGGUCGCCGCGCCGAAAGGCGCUGCCGUCGUUCGGGUCGUGGCAUCGAGGUGUGCGUGGUGCUGUGCGCCAGGGCAACGCCGGCUGCGGCCGUUUGCUCGGACUUGAGCGUGGGGCCACCUCCAUCGCGUGAUGCGGCUGCGCUGCGAGGAGCCGGGCCGAGGUCCGCUCGGAGGAGCGGCGUGUGGUGGAUGUGGUCUCCGCGCCCGGAGGAGUGAUGCUUAUGCGCGCGUCCUCGACGAGGUUGCUGCCGCUGCAGUGAUGGCGAGAAAUACAUGAUACCUUCUUCUGUUUGUAUGAUUUGAUGAUUCUUCUUGAUUGAUUGAGAAAAGCAGUUAAUCUCCAGAUCACGGGAAGAACAAAAAUUAAACAAAAUUAGUGUUUCGUGAUCGA